rnacentral:lncRNA from 1 species
UUUUUAACUAGUGCGUCUUGCCGAGAUGCGAUCAGCUUGUCUGCCAAACGACGGCGAAACCAAUGAUGGCAUUGCGUUCUGUUCUCCGGAAGAUUCUGACGAGCCCGCUGGUGUUGAAUGAUGCUGUUUUCAACCACUUCAAUGCAAUACAGCAUAACACAGGGCUACUACCGAGUGUCACGGAGGAACAAGUCGUAGACUUUGAGAUUCAAGACGAAGCUCGGUUUCGACAUUUUGCCGACGGUUGGAAUGAGGCACAGGACAUCGAAGAGGUUGAAGAGGCCGGUGUCUUCG